GUCAGGGACAUCCGAUAAAUUUAGAACAAUACAGAGAAGAUUAGCAUGACUCCUGUGCAAGAAUCACACGCACAAAUAGAGAAAUGGUAUGAGAGCUA